CGUCGCAAGGGCAAAAUUGGUAUUUCACGCACACAACUAUAAAUAGAAAAAAAUUGGAAGCCCUAGUCCCAUUUCUCCCUUGCAGCCGCGUCCUUCUCCUUCCCUCUCCCCCGACCUCUCGCUCUCUCUCUCUCGUUCUCCCUCUGCCAUCACCGGAGACUCCAUCUCCGGCCACCAUCUCACCACAUCACUUCCACCAGUCGACGCAACACCUGAACCCGACCAAAACCCACCCGGAAUCACCGACAUGCAUCGCCGGUAGCCUCCACACGCGACCACCAAAAGCUGCGACACCACUGCCCUUUCUCCUUCGUCGAUUUCCGACCAUCACCAUGCCACACUGACACCACCGUCCGACUCAGUGGACAAGGAAGAGCGAAACCCGUGAGCAUCAUCACUCGUCGAUGUCGGGAAACCGCCGUACCAGCAUCGUCGGAGGCCUCGGCCCUGCAUGCCCUCGUUCUCUACUCUCCAGCUCGGAUCGAGCUAAACAACCUCCGUAGCUGGAAUCAAGGCUUCACGAUGCAUCAAAGCCAUAGACCCUCAGCCUCCGAUUUCGGCCAGAGCCCCCGCACGCGUCUCACGCGCCACCGCUGGCACGUGAGCCAACCUAGCGUCACCGUGAGCACCACCAGCUUAUUCUCUUCGUUCGGUAAGCUGGAUUCUAUCCCUUCUUCUUAGUGAGGCUUCUACUUUGAUCUAGAUUGAGAACCCUAACUCGAUUUCUUAAUUUGAAAUCUGUGAGGAUUUUGGAAUAUGUGUUCUGGAGGUUUUGGAGGAAGGGAGGUCUGCAAAAUUGUAAGCCUUCGGAGAAGAGAAGUGCUGGGUCAGUUCCAUUUGUAUUGAGGAAAGGUGCCCAAAGCAAUUGUUGGAGCUGGAUUGCAGCAAUUGGAUUUAGCCCUCAGUUUGGAGAAGAAGAAAUGGACCCGAGCGUGUGCAUUUGGAAGUGGACAAAGUGUUGAAAGUCGAGAACGAACCCGAAUGUGGGCAAGCACUCCAAUUCCAGUGUGCAGGUUUCGAGCAUGUGGUCGGGAAGCGUACAGGGGAGGCACAUGGCACGGCUUGGCGCAUUUCUCUUUAGUUUUAUCAAAAGAAGGUUUUGGUCCUUAAUCGGAUUUUGUAGUAGCUAGUUUAUUUACUUUUUAUUUAUUUCCUACUCGUUUACAAAAAAAUUCCGGGAGACCCGUAACCCUGGGGCGCGUCUCCCAUACUUGUAGUUACUUAGUGAUCCGUUUUAUUUUCCAAAUUGGGCUCCGAUUGCAAGCCCAAAACUCUUAGCCCAUUUCGAAUUCCGCUUUUGACAAUGUGUUGUUAGGUUGCUAGAAUGAUUUGUCCAAGAAAGUGUUUUGUAAACCAACAACCUAAACUCAAAAGGCCUUGCGGUUUCGGGUUGAUGAGCUAUCGAGAUGCCAUUCGUGACAUGUCGAUUCCUCAUUGGCUCGGAGUCGCGGCGCUGUGGGACCCCCCUUUCGGGUCACCACAGUAAAGUGGUAUCAGAGCUCUAGGUUCCGAAAUACUUUCGAAAUCGUUUUUGCAAAACUGCAACCCUUGUCAUAAUUUUUUUCAAGUGUCGAAUUUGGUUGGGCAAAACGCUCGAAUUUCUUGGACAUUUUAAAGUAUGUUGGUAAAAAAAAAA